rnacentral:misc_RNA from 1 species
GAUGAAGAACGUAGCGAAAUGCGAUAAGUAAUGUGAAUUGCAGAAUUCAGUGAAUCAUCGAAUCUUUGAACGCACCUUGCGCCCUUUGGCCAUUCCGAAGGGCAUGCCUGUUUGAGUAUCAUGAACACCUCAACUCUUUAUGGUUUUCCAUGAUGAGCUUGGACUCUGGGGGUUUUGCUGGCUCACAGUCGGCUCCUCUAAAAUGAAUCAGCUUACCAGUGUUUGGUGGGUAUCAUGUGUGUGAUAACUAUCUACGCUUGUGGUUUUUCCACCAGGUAACCUUCAGCAGUGGAGGUUCGCUGGAGCUCAUAGAUGUCUCUCCUCAGUGAGGACAGCCCUUUGAAUGUUUGAUCUCAAAUCAGGUAGGACUACCCGCUGAACUUAAGCAUAUCAAUAAGCGGAGGA